AGGUCACCACCAUUUGCGAGGCUCCCGUGUGAGGGUGGGCCAUGUACAGAUAUUCUAGCGGCCCUCUUGGAAUACAAGGUCCAUGUAAAGGCACUGAGGAGCAUAGAGCCAUCUGGCUUGUCCAGUGGUGGUAGGUGUCGCAGUAGACCCUAGCCUCAGACAGUUGACGUCUUAGCUUGGAAAGGUGCAUUUUGUCCUGAUUCCUGCUGCAGAUGCACUAAUUGGGGCUCUGGUGAUGUCGAUUCUAAAGCAAUGAAGCUUCUGUGGUUUGUGAUUGGAGCCCCAGGUCAGGUCUGAGGCCCUCGCCGUUGCAUCCCUUUGGGUUGCUGAGAUUCCUGAGUGCCAUGUGGGCUGCAGUGGCUGCAGAGACCUGGGGGAAUGGUGGCAGUUGUGAAAGUUAAUAGGCCCAUUUCUGCCCUUGGCAGUGGCUGAAUUGCAACUCCUGUCACGUGCUUGAGUCUUGGAGGUCGCCAUGGACUAUGCUGUGGUCCUAGGCCUGCAUUCCUCCUGCAGGUUGGCCAGAGGCCCAGAGAAGAAUGUUUGUGCAGGUGAGGAAAAGUGCAGUGUGAUUUACUGGGACAAUAUGUCCGCUAGGCUUGCAGGCACUGUUGUUCUGUUUUCAGUAAUACAGUGGGGUCCUUUUGGAGCUGCCAUCAGCUGGGUACAGAGGACAGGGCAUUGCUUGUCCUUAGGAGGCUCGGUGAAAGGUGACCUUUGUGGCCUUGUUGUCCCACUGCCAAUAGAAGGACUCUCAAAGGGCAUCUUUGGUGCCUUGAAGAGUUGCAAUAAAGAGGCCAAGGAACCAGCCCAGUGGGUAGUUACGUGGUGUACGCACAUGCCCCUUGGCCGCCAUUUGUCUCUUCGGCCUGGAAUUAUCAAGAUUCCCUAAGGUUGGGGCCAGCCGGCCAGCCCUGAUAGCACCCAUGUGUUUGCCCCCCUGGCAGUGAAGCAUCAACCUUUGAGGACCACCACGGUUGUGAUAGACAUUGCUCAUUGGUUGGCAUACCAAGGCUGCCUCAGUGUAGGAGACAACAGCUCCCAUGGCACUAUGGCAGAGACCUGGCACAUCCACGGUCUUCCCUGGCAGGUCUUCUGAAGUCUUCCUGAAAGCAUCCCUGGUGAUCUGUGAGCCCUUGGUCGUGUUGCCCGCCUUCUUCCUGUGGGUCUUGCUGGAUGCUCAUUGUCCCUGUGAGCCGAGGCCCUGGAGGCUUCAGAUUUAGGUGAAGUUGCCACGUAUGACUGUCCAUCAGCCAGGAGAUGAACCCCCACCCGUGAGGCAGUGACUCAAGGUGCAAGGGAGUCCGGCAAGAAGUGUGGCGCACCCGAGUUGCUGCCACUGCUUUUUGGAUCACCCAGCACGAUUGAGUUGCCCAGGAUGGAAGACCAUUGUCAACAGGGAACCCGUCACACAUUCUGUGAAUCCCAGCCUGGUGAGACAAGGAGCAUGAGCCCUGGGGGCCAUUGUGCAUGCAGCUCCAUCUGUAAGAUGGAACACCCGUGGAGGUAAGUGGUCCUUAUUUGAGGAAACCUAGUGGUUUGGCCCCAGUGAUCUGGGCAUGGGAUCUGUGCUCUCACCUUCUGGGGUUUCCCUAGGGUAUGCCAAGUCCCAGGGCCCAAG
ensembl:lncRNA